rnacentral:rRNA from 1 species
UACGAGGGGUGCAAGCGUUGCUCGGAAUUAUUGGGCGUAAAGGGUAGGUAGGUGGUCUCAUAUGUCUGGGGUGAAAGCCUUGAGCUUAACUCAAGAAGUGCCCCGGAAACGGUGAGACUGGAGUCCUGGAGAGGGUCGUGGAAUUCCCGGUGUAGCGGUGAAAUGCGUAGAGAUCGGGAGGAACACCAGAGGCGAAAGCGAGGUCCUGGAUGGCUACUGACGCUGAGACGCGAAAGCCAGGGGAGCGAACGGG